CGUAGGGUGCAGGCGUUAAUCGGAAUUACUGGGCGUAAAGCGUGCGCAGGCGGUUUGCUAAGACAGGUGUGAAAUCCCCGGGCUUAACCUGGGAACUGCGCUUGUUACUGGCAAGCUGGAGUGUGGCAGAGGGGGGUGGAAUUCCACGUGUAGCAGUGAAAUGCGUAGAGAUGUGGAGGAACACCGAUGGCGAAGGCAGCCCCCUGGGCUAACACUGACGCUCAUGCACGAAAGCGUGGGGAGCAAACAGGAUUAGAUACCCUGGUAGUCCACGCCCUAAACUAUGUCAACUGGUUGUCGGGGAAGCAAUUCCUUGGUAACGAAGCUAACGCGUGAAGUUGACCGCCUGGGGAGUACGGCCGCAAGGUU
rnacentral:rRNA from 1 species